CAUCCUAUCUCUUCCUCACAACAAUUUUGAGAGACUGUGGAUGUGGGGGCCACACAGAGGAUCAAGCCUCUUCUAAUUCACCUCCCAGAUUUUAGAGAUAAAAAGAGAAAUCUCUUCAAUCUGUCACAUGCGUGAGUAUUUAUAUGAUCUUGACUAUGGCUUUUCGUAAUCGUCAGUCCCUGAUACAAUGGAUGCAAACACCAGGGACAAUACCCAAUUGUCCACCUGGAUUGGAAUAUCUGACUCAGAUAAAUCAGUUACUAGUGUGUCAACGUUUCGAUCUUCUGGAAGGUAUUUCAGAGAAGCAGUGAUUGCAGAUCCUUCAGGAAUUCUGCUAGGAGAAGCAGAAUCCAGUUCUCGGUUGUUUUGCAACUAGUAAAAAAUAUGAAGUCAUGAACAAUCAAGGACACAGAAUUUAUUAUGCAGAAGAAAGAAGUAAUUGUUUCCUCCGAUAUCUCUGUGGACCUUCAAGACGUUUUACCAUGACAAUUUAUGAUAAUGUAGGCCGUGAUGUCAUUACUAUGCAUAGAACUCUAAGAAGUAGCUGUUGCUGGAGAAACUGCUAUGUACAAAA